rnacentral:misc_RNA from 1 species
AACAUGCCUGUUGUUCAUGUUGUGUGUUGUUUUACCAAAAAAAUUGCGGAAUGUAAGUGUGUGAAUGAGAAGCUGAAUUUUAUUAAAUGUGUAGUGUUAUGUGUGCGAGUAGCUUAAUGGAAGUUUACGCAAUAGAAGAUUAUCAAAUGAGUACCUGUUUAUGGAUGUCAUUAAUGUCUGACAAUGAGGCCAAUUUAUUUUAUUAAAUUCUUUAAAACCUGU